GACGAACGCUGGUGGCGUGCUUAACACAUGCAAGUCGAACGGGAUUUAGUAAACAGAAGCCUCGGUGGAAGAUUACUAAUGAGAGUGGCGAACGGGUGAGUAACGCGUGAGCAACCUGCCUAUGACAGUGGGAUAGCCUCGGGAAACCGGGAUUAAUACCGCAUAAAAUCGUAGAAACACAUGUUUUAACGGUCAAAGAUUUAUCGGUCAUAGAUGGGCUCGCGUCUGAUUAGCUAGUUGGUGAGAUAACAGCCCACCAAGGCGACGAUCAGUAGCCGGUCUGAGAGGAUGAACGGCUACAUUGGAACUGAGACACGGUCCAAACUCCUACGGGAGGCAGCAGUGGGGAAUAUUGCACAAUGGGGGAAACCCUGAUGCAGCGACGCCGCGUGAACGAAGAAGGUAUUCGUAUCGUAAAGUUCUGUCCUAUGGGAAGAUAAUGACAGUACCAUAGAAGAAAGCUCCGGCUAAAUACGUG
rnacentral:rRNA from 1 species